GAUGAACGCUGGCGGCGUGCCUAAUACAUGCAAGUCGAGCGAACGGACGAGAAGCUUGCUUCUCUGAUGUUAGCGGCGGACGGGUGAGUAACACGUGGAUAACCUACCUAUAAGACUGGGAUAACUUCGGGAAACCGGAGCUAAUACCGGAUAAUAUUUUGAACCGCAUGGUUCAAAAGUGAAAGACGGUCUUGCUGUCACUUAUAGAUGGAUCCGCGCUGCAUUAGCUAGUUGGUAAGGUAACGGCUUACCAAGGCAACGAUGCAUAGCCGACCUGAGAGGGUGAUCGGCCACACAUGAACUGAGACACGGUCCAGACUCCUACGGGAGGCAGCAGUAGGGAAUCUUCCGCAAUGGGCGAAAUCCUGACGGAGCAACGCCGCUGGAGUGAUGAAGGUCUUCGGAUCGUAAAACUUUGUUAUUAGGGAAGAACAUAUGUGUAAGUAACUGUGCACAUCUUGACGGUACCUAAUCAGAAAGCCACGGCUAACUACGUG
rnacentral:rRNA from 1 species